AGAGAGCCUCGGCUAGGUGUGGAAACAGGAAGAGAACUAGAACUGGAAGUAAAGCAUUGAAGAUGUGACUGAAUUGCUGCAAUCUCAUGAUCAAAUUUGAAUGGAUGAGGAGUUGCUUUUUAGGGAUGAGCAAAGAAAGUGGUUUCUCGAGAUGGAAUCUACUGGUUGCUCCUUGAGGGCAGGACAGUUCUUAUGGCUUUAUCCGUUGCGUAAGCACAGAGAGGUCUGCGAGGUCAAAACUAUUGUCAUGAUAGCAAGAUGCCUGUCUUUUUCAUUUAUUCUCACGGUGUGCAGAGGCUACAUGAUGUGUGAUGACAUCCUCAUUGAUGUUAAUGAAUGGUGCUAUACUUGAAUUUUCUAAGGUGUCAUUAGAUGAGGUCUUGCUGUGUUGCCCAGGCUAUUCACAGCUGCCAUCAUAGUGAACUACAGCCUGAAACUCCUGGGUUCAAGAGAUCCUUCUGCCUCAGCCUCCUGAGUAGCUGGAACUAUAGGCAUGCGCCACCAAGCCUGGGCUUUUAAAAAAAUUUUAAAAAGAAUUUUGAGACAGGAUCUUGCCAUGUUGCUCAGGCUAGUCUUCAACUCCUAGCCCUGAGUGAUCUUGCUUUGGGCCUCUCAAAAUGUUGAGUUAAUAGGCGUGAGCCACCAUACCCAGCCAAAAAUUUUUUUAGAGAUGGGAA
rnacentral:lncRNA from 10 species